rnacentral:rRNA from 1 species
UCGUAACAAGGUUUCCGUAGGUGAACCUGCGGAAGGAUCAUUAUUGAAUAUUCUUGAUGGGUUGUAGCUGGCUCUUUGGAGUAUGUGCACGCCUGUCUUGACUUAAUUCAUCCACCUGUGCACCUUUUGUAGUCUUGGGGGUUGAGUGCAGUCGACUGUCGGACGGCUAUUGUAGUCUAUCCGGAUGUGAGGAAUGCUGAGUGCGCAAGCAUACGGCUCUCUUCAAAAUGACUUGCAAACCCUCUCCCUCAAGUACUAUGUAUUCAUAUACCACAUAGUAUGUUGUAGAAUGUGAUCAAUGGGCCUCUGUGCCUAUAAUAAUCAUAUACAACUUUCAGCAACGGAUCUCUUGGCUCUCGCAUCGAUGAAGAACGCAGCGAAAUGCGAUAAGUAAUGUGAAUUGCAGAAUUCAGUGAAUCAUCGAAUCUUUGAACGCACCUUGCGCUCCUUGGUAUUCCGAGGAGCAUGCCUGUUUGAGUGUCAUUAAAUUCUCAACCCCUCCAGCUUUUGCGAGCUGUGACGGGGCUUGGAUGUUGGGGGUUUGCGGGCCUGUAGAGGUCGGCUCUCCUGAAAUGCAUUAGCGGAACCGUUUGCAGUCCCGUCACUAGUGUGAUAAUUAUCUACACUGUGAUGAUUGCUCUCUGGCUAGUUCAGCUACUAACCGUCCACUGUUGGACAACACUUAAUGAACUUCUUGACCUCAAAUCAGGUAGGACUACCCGCUGAACUUAAGCAUAUCAAUA